UACAGAGGGUGCGAGCGUUGUUCGGAAUUAUUGGGCGUAAAGCGCGCGCAGGCGGUUCUUUAAGUCUGAUGUGAAAGCCCACGGCUCAACCGUGGAGGGUCAUUGGAAACUGGGGAACUAGAGUGCAGAAGAGGAAAGUGGAAUUCCACGUGUAGCGGUGAAAUGCGUAGAGAUGUGGAGGAAUACCAGUGGCGAAGGCGACUUUCUGGUCUGUAACUGACGCUGAGGCGCGAAAGCGUGGGGAGCAAACAGG
rnacentral:misc_RNA from 1 species